GAUGAACGCGGGCGGCGUGCCUAGUACAUGCAAGUCGAGCGAACAGACGAGGAGCUUGCUCCUCUGACGUUAGCGGCGGACGGGUGAGUAACACGUGGAUAACCUACCUAUAAGACUGGGAUAACUUCGGGAAACCGGAGCUAAUACCGGAUAAUAUAUUGAACCGCAUGGUUCAAUAGUGAAAGACGGUUUUGCUGUCACUUAUAGAUGGAUCCGCGCCGCAUUAGCUAGUUGGUAAGGUAACGGCUUACCAAGGCGACGAUGCGUAGCCGACCUGAGAGGGUGAUCGGCCACACUGGAACCGAGACACGGUCCAGACUCCUACGGGAGGCAGCAGUAGGGAAUCUUCCGCAAUGGGCGAAAGCCUGACGGAGCAACGCCGCGUGAGUGAUGAAGGUCUUCGGAUCGUAAAACUCUGUUAUUAGGGAAGAACAAAUGUGUAAGUAACUAUGCACGUCUUGACGGUACCUAAUCAGAAAGCCACGGCUAACUACGUG
rnacentral:rRNA from 1 species